rnacentral:lncRNA from 1 species
UUUUUUUUUUUUUUUUUAAGAUGGAAUCUCGCUCUGUCGCCAGGCUGGAGUGUAGUAGCCCAAUGUCGGCUCACUGCAACCUCCACCUCCCGGGUUCAAGCGGUUCUCCUCCCUCAGCCUCCCGAGUAGCUGGGACUACAGACGCCCGCCACCACGCCCGGCUAAGUUUUGUAUUUUUAGUAGAGACGGGUUUUCACCAUGUUGGCCAGGAUGGUCUUGAUCUCCUGACCUCGAGAUCUGCCCGCCUCGGCCUCCCAAAGUGCUGGGAUUGCAGGCAUGAGCCACCGCGCCCAGACCAUUCUACCAUAAUUUUUUGAGACAAAUUUUAAAAUAGAGGGGCAGAAGUAUCCUACAACCAGAUAAUGCACCCCCAAAUACUAGAGUCAGUGGGCCAACGAUGGACCACCGCAGUCAAUGUCUGAUGAAAGAAUGAAGAGCUUCCCCUAUUUGAGAGACAAGAAAACUGAGGCCCAAGGGGAAGCCACAGCACUGCCCAGGGCUGCACAACAGGGCCAAGGCAGAGAUCUGGACCAGAAUCCAGAUAAGUUCCAGCCCCGGGAAGCCCAGGCCUGUGCUGGGCGGGGUUGGAUUUCACCAAGCCCCUCCCCCAGCUGUGCACAUCUGUCUGUCUCAGUGGGAUGAGGCCAUUGCCCAGGAAGCUGGCCAAGGACUCAAACAUCCAGGACAGAACAACGGAGGCGCUUCCAAGGGGCGGUAUUGGCAGCCUCGCACUUGAACCUGGGCCCUGUGGGGCUGCCCGCUCCUGCCUGGCUCUGGGGGCUGUAUUCCUAAGGCCACACUUACUCUCCUUACCCCAAAUCCUCCUCCCUCAGCAGGAGCACCAGGAUGCAGUCCAGGUCAGCUACUCCCUAGGGGAGGCACUCAGCAGGUCCCUGCCCCUCCCAGGGUCUCCAUUUCCGCUUCAGCAUAGUCAGGUUUCAUCCAGCUCUGCCGGUCCCACUCCUCAAACCUGAGCAGCCUUUCCUGACAUUGCUGUCUUGGAAUACUUAGCGCUUCACUGCCCUAGUCGGAGGGAAGAGACGUGCUGCCGUUAGAAGCCUCAGCCCGAAGUUGGAGACAGAGCCCUGCACACAGGAGCUCCCGAUGUGUCGGAGGAGCGAGAGUUCUGCCCUUAGGAGCCUCCAGCCCAAACGGACCACUCCGGAUUCAGGAACUCCUGAUCUGAUGGGGGAGACCUGAGCCAUCGCCAUCACAGGGUCUCCUGUGUCAGUGCUUGGGCCCUGGCUGGUAUCUCUCUUUUUCAGAAACUCUCUCCUCUCCCCGGCUCAAGAGGCCAGGGGCCCGUAUCUACCUCUCUGCUCCUCAGAAUUCAGCCGCUCUCCUAGUUUACUCAGCAGGGCCCCAACCCCAGGCUGCUGGCUACAGCGAGCAUCACGACAGACUGCCCAUGUGCUGAGGCCCGGCAGAGAACACAUGUUCCUCACACCAUAUUUGCUUUUGGUGAGAAGCUCUCCACCCCAGCACGGCACCCUCUUGGUCCAGGAC